rnacentral:sRNA from 14 species
ACGCAAAGCACACACAUUUUGGGUGUAUAAAUAUAGUAUUGACAUUG